AACCCUAUAGCUAGCCCCCAACCUAAAAAAAUAUAAAUAUAUAUCUUUCCAACCCCACCACAUCAAAAACAUUUUUUCCUCCUCAGUAAAGGCGAUAGAAAGGGAAAAACAUGGAGCCAUAGAAGCAGUACCGCAAGGGAACGCUGAAAGAGAAAUGAAAGAACCCAGUAAAGUAAAAAGAAGCAGAGACCAACCCUCGUACCUUUUGCAUCAUGAUUUAGCUAGUCCUAGUCAAGCAAAAAGAAUUUUAGUUUGACACCCCGAAACUAGACGAGCUACUCCAAGGCAGCCUAAUAAAAGGGCCAAUCCGUCUCUGUGGCAAAAGAGUGGAAAGACCUUUGAGUAGAGGUGAUAAACCUACCGAGCCUAGUAAUAGCUGGUUGCCUGUGAAAUAAAUUUAAGUUUAGCCUUUAAUUAUCUCGUACCCCCGACGGCCUAACCAACAGCCCCGGCCCAAAGAUUAUUAAAGAGUUAUUCAAAGGGGGUACAGCCCCUUUGAACAAAGACACAACUUUAAUGAGAGGAUAAUAAACAUACAAAAUUAGGUAAGUGCCAAAGUGGGCCUAAAAGCAGCCACCCUUAAGAAAGCGUUAAAGCUCAGACACACCUCUUCCCACCUCAAAUCCCGAUAACAUAAUAAUACUCCCUCAACAAUACCAGGCCUUUCUAUCUUAAAUAGAAGAGAUUAUGCUAAAAUGAGUAAUAAGAGAAUACACUUCUCUCCCCGCACAUGUGUAAGCCGGCUCGGACCACCCACCGGCAAUUAACGCCCCCAAAUAAGAGGUUAAUAAGACCCAAAAAGAUAACAAGAAAUCCCCUUAAACAAAUACCGUUACCCCUACACAGGAGUGCCCCUGGGAAAGACUAAAAGGGGGAGAAGGAACUCGGCAAAUUAAACCAAAGCCUCGCCUGUUUACCAAAAACAUCGCCUUUUGAACCACCCCUAAUAAAAGGUCCUGCCUGCCCUGUGAAUUAAUUUUUAACGGCCGCGGUAUCUUGACCGUGCAAAGGUAGCGUAAUCACUUGUCUUUUAAAUGAAGACCCGUAUGAAUGGCAAAACGAGGGCUUAACUGUCUCCUCCCCCCAGUCAAUGAAAUUGAUCUCCCCGUGCAGAAGCGGGGAUAACAACAUAAGACGAGAAGACCCUAUGGAGCUUUAGACGCACUAGCAGACCAUAAAAAACAUUUUUUUCAAAAAAAUGGAACCAACUGACCCCUGCUUCAAUGUCUUUGGUUGGGGCGACCCCGGAGUAAUAAAAAACCCCCGAGCGGACUGAAGACACCCUAGCUUCAUAAUAUAGAGCCGCAGCUCACAAAACCAGAACUUCUGACCCUAAGAUCCGACACAGUCGAUCAACGGACCAAGUUACCCUAGGGAUAACAGCGCAAUCCCCUUUCAGAGCCCCUAUCGACGAGGGGGUUUACGACCUCGAUGUUGGAUCAGGACAUCCUAAUGGUGCAGCCGCUAUUAAGGGCUCGUUUGUUCAACGAUUAAAGUCCUACGUGAUCUGAGUUCAGACCGGAGUAAUCCAGGUCAGUUUCUAUCUAUGAAGUGUUUUCUUCCAGUACGAAAGGAUCGAAGAAAAAAGGCCUAUGCUUAACAACAUGCCUUACCCCUCCUUAUGAAACCAACUUAAUUAGGCAAAAGGCACACCAACCCCGCCAAAGAUAAUAGCU
rnacentral:rRNA from 1 species